rnacentral:rRNA from 1 species
AGGUUAAAUUUUUUGAUUAAGGAAUUAUUUAAUAUAUCUUAAAAAAAGGCAUUUAAAAAUAAAAUUGGUAAAUUAUAUGUAUAAAGGACGUGACGUUUCGAAAGUUAUAAGGAGGUUUAGACCUGUGAUUUUUAAAUUUCCUAGCUAAAAAAUAGAAUUUAUAAAACAUUGUAAAUUGAAACAUCUUACUAACAAUUAAGUAAAAAUCAACCGAAAAAUUGUAAGUAAUGGUGAGUGAACGCAAUUAAAGUAAAUAUUAAGAUAAAAAAAAUUUGAAGAGUUUACAAAAAAAGGUGUAAGUCCUGUAAAAAUUUUUUAUCUUAAACAAGAAGUAUAACGAAUAAAAAUCGUAAGAAGAGAGGAGAACCACCUUCUAAACUUAAUAAUAUAAUUUAAUCGAUAGUGGAAGAGUAUUGUGAAAAAAAUUUGAAAAAAUUUGAAAAAAUUUGAAAAAAUUUGAAUGUCUAAUUAAUUACUUGAAGUAAAAAUAUACAACAAGAUGCUUUUUGCAGAACGAGUCAGUAAGUUAAAAAUUAUAGCAAAAUAUUUUAAUUUUAAAAUAUUAUCGUAAAGUUAUAAUUAUUAGACCUGAAACCAAGUGAUCUAAUUAUGAGUAAGUUGCUUUUAAUGUAACAAUUAAUUAAAGACUGAACUUCUACAUGUAGCAAAAUGUAAAGAAAAUUUGUAAUUAGGAGUGAAAGGCUAAUCAAACUUGGUUAUAGCCGGUUUUUCACGAAAUGUAUUUUAGUACAGCAUCAUUAGAUAAUUUUUAAUGUAUAGUAAAAGAUUUUUUAAUAAAUUUUUAACUUCAAAAUUAAAAAUUAAUUUAAAAAAAUAUUAAUGAUAGUCAGUCAUAUAGCGAGAAGGUUUUAUGACAAGCGGAAAACAAUCCUAAUCAUUUGUUAAGGUAUUAAAUUAUACAUAAAAGAAAGGUUUUAAAAUAUUUAAAUAUUUCUAAUAGGCUUAGAAGCAGUUUUUUAUUUGAGAAAGCGUUUUAGCUCAUUAUUUCUUUUUUUAAAACUAAAAAUUUUAGAUAAAAAAGUAUAAACCGAAACAGUGAAUAUGCUUAAAUUAAAGUAUAUGGUAGUGAAACGUUUUGUUAUUUAAUUAUAAUUUAAAGAGGAAUCGUUAAAAUUAUUACAAAAAUGCGAAUGCUGACAUGAGUAACGAAAAUUAUGUAAAAAUCAUAAUCAUAAAAAAAUAGGUUUUCAAUGUACUUUAAAAUCCAUUGAGUGAGUCGGUUCUUAAAAAUUUUACUAAAUAGUUAUUUUGAUAGAAAAUAAAUUUCAUUUAAUUUUACUACUUGCAGUUUUUUAAAUUAACAAAAAAGUAUUAAAUUUAACUUUUAACUUUAUCUUUUUAAAAUUAAUUAAAAAUUAAAUGAAAAAUUCUCGAGAAAAAAGCAAGUAAAAAAAACCGUACUAAAUCCGACACAGGUUUUUUUAUAUGAGUGAAAAAAUUAUAUUAAAGGAACUUGGCAAAUUGAUCUCGUAUGUUAGCUAAAAGAGAUAUCUAUAGUGAAAUAUAGAUAACAUAAACUAAAAAGCAACGACUGGUUAACAAAACCACAGGACUCUGCUAAUUUUUAAAAAGAUGUAUAGAGUCUGAAGCCUGCCCAGUGCUUAAAAAUGAAAUAUUUAGAGAAAUAUAAACUAAAUAAUAAGUUUAAGUAAACGGCGGUUCUAACUAUAAGAAUCCUCAGGUAGCGAAAUUCCUUGGCGGGUAAAUUCCGUCCUGCAUGAAUGGCUUAACGAUUGCUUUACUGUCUCUAAUAUAAAUUCAGUGAAAUUACAAUAUUCAUGAAAAUGUGAAUUUUUUACAAUAAGACGGAAAGACCCUAGAUCCUUUACUUUUAUUUUAUAUUGUUAUUAAAUUUUUUAAUAAAAAUGGGAGUGAAAAACGUUCAUGAAAUACCAUUUUUAAAAUUUUAAAACUAAUUUACAUUUUUUAAAGAAAGUUUAAAAGAGAAAGUUUACUUGGGAUGAGUACCUCCUAAAAAGUAACGGAGGUGUACAAAGGUAAAAUUAAGUAUAAUAGCCAUUAAUUUUUUGCUUGAUAAUAAAAUUAAUAAAUUAAAUUAGGACGCAAGUCAGUUAUAAUGACCCGAAUUUGAGAGUGGAAUUAAAUUCGUUCAACAGAUAAAAGGAACUCUAGGGAUAACAGAUUCAUCAUGAUUAAAAGUCCAUAUUGAAAUCAUGGUUUGAUACCUCGAUGUCGACUCAUCUUAUCCUGAAAUUGAAAUUAAUUUCAAGGGUCUAGUUGUUCGCUAGUUAAAAAGGUACGUGAGUUGGGUUCAGAACGUCGUGAGACAGUUCGGUCCCUAUCUAUUGUAAAUUAAAAAAAUAAAAAGAAUUAUUUUUAGUACGAGAGGACCAAAAUAUAUUAACCACUGGUAAAUUGAUUAAAAAUUUUAUUAUUUUAAUGUCAAGUAGCUACGUUAGUUUAAUUUAAAUACUGAAUGAAUCAAUAGUAUAAAAUUAACUUUUAAAUUUUUUUGAAUAUUCUUUUCGAAAAAAAGAUAGAUCGGUCUAAUUUUAAUUUUUAGUAAUAAAACAACUAUAGAUACGAAUUAAUCAAAGAAAUUUUUUAAUUAACUUAA